rnacentral:lncRNA from 1 species
GGUACCCGGUUCACAACCCGACAUAUCCAUCUGCAAAUUUGUUUCAUUUGAGUGGAGCCCAUCAAGAAAAUUACCAAAUCGUCCACUACUAGAUCCCAAAAAUGAGCUGAUAUUCCCAAAUUGCCCCUGGUAAUUAUCUGUCUUCAGAGGAAAUGUUUCAGUAUUUGUUCCACUAACACUAACCGGUGGUGGUGGUCGUGGUGGUGAGACAGAUGAUGCGGAGGUGGCGGCGGGGCGUUUGGAGUGGUGGGCAGUGGGAGAAGAGGAGGCAGCGGAGGAGGAGCUCCGCUUGGUGUUCUUCCGGGAGCCGCCGCCGACAGGGAUGUUUCUAAGAACACCUCCUUUAGUCCAGUACCUUCUA